GGAGGAUCCGAGCGUUAUCCGGAUUUAUUGGGUUUAAAGGGAGCGUAGGCGGACGCUUAAGUCAGUUGUGAAAGUUUGCGGCUCAACCGUAAAAUUGCAGUUGAUACUGGGUGUCUUGAGUACAGUAGAGGCAGGCGGAAUUCGUGGUGUGGCGGUGAAAUGCUUAGAUAUCACGAAGAACUCCGAUUGCGAAGGCAGCCUGCUGGACUGUAACUGACGCUGAUGCUCGAAAGUGUGGGUAUCAAACAGGAUUAGAUACCCUGGUAGUCCACACAGUAAACGAUGAAUACUCGCUGUUUGCGAUAUACAGUAAGCGGCCAAGCGAAAGCGUUAAGUAUUCCACCUGGGGAGUACGCCGGCAACGGUG
rnacentral:rRNA from 1 species